rnacentral:rRNA from 1 species
AGCAGCCGCGGUAAUUCCAGCUCCAAUAGCGUAUAUUAAAGUUGUUGCAGUUAAAAAGCUCGUAGUUGAAUUUCGGGAUCAAAUUGUCGGUCGUGCCUCGGUACGUACUGGUAUUAUUGGUUCCUCCCUUCUGACGAACCACGAUGUCAUUAAUUUGGUGUCAUGGGAAAUCAGGACUGUUACUUUGAAAAAAUUAGAGUGUUUAAAGCAGGCUCGCGCUUGAAUACAUUAGCAUGGAAUAAUGAAAUAGGACGUUUGAUUCUAUUUUGUUGGUUUCUAGGAUCGACGUAAUGAUUAAUAGGGAUAGUUGGGGGCGUUAGUAUUCAAUUGUCAGAAGUGAAAUUCUUGGAUUUAUUGAAGACUAACUACUGCGAAAGCAUUUGCCAAGGAUGUUUUCAUUAAUCAAGAACGAAAGUUAGGGGAUCGAAGACGAUCAGAUACCGUCGUAGUCUUAACCAUAAACUACGCCGACUAGGGAUCGGAUGAUGUUAAUUUUUUAAUGACUCAUUCGGCGCCUUAC